GGUAUUUUGCCAACGAGUGAUUCAAGCUCGGCAAGGGUAGGUGAGAAGUAGACCGUAGGCCUGCAUUUUAAUUUUCUCACCUUCAGGGUAUGAAAGAAUGGCAUCCGUUCAUGCAGGGGGCACUGUGUGGUACAAUCAAUGUGUUUUACCCCUGGAUUGGUGGUAAAACCAAAGGGUAAGCAGGAGCCUUAGCAAUAUGUGUCUGCUCUCGUUCAGAAGCAAGCCCUGCCCUCCC